CAUACCCUUUUCUACGGAAUAGCUCUGGGAAACUGGAAUUAAUACCGUAUACGCCCUACGGGGGAAAGAUUUAUCGGGGAAGGAUUGGCCCGCGUUGGAUUAGCUAGUUGGUGGGGUAAAGGCCUACCAAGGCGACGAUCCAUAGCUGGUCUGAGAGGAUGAUCAGCCACAUUGGGACUGAGACACGGCCCAAACUCCUACGGGAGGCAGCAGUGGGGAAUAUUGGACAAUGGGCGCAAGCCUGAUCCAGCCAUGCCGCGUGAGUGAUGAAGGCCUUAGGGUUGUAAAGCUCUUUCACCGAUGAAGAUAAUGACGGUAGUCGGAGAAGAAGCCCCGGCUAACUUCGUGCCAGCAGCCGCGGUAAUACGAAGGGGGCUAGCGUUGUUCGGAAUUACUGGGCGUAAAGCGCACGUAGGCGGAUAUUUAAGUCAGGGGUGAAAUCCCAGAGCUCAACUCUGGAACUGCCUUUGAUACUGGGUAUCUUGAGUAUGGAAGAGGUAAGUGGAAUUGCGAGU
rnacentral:rRNA from 1 species